AUACUUACCUGGCAGGGGAGAAACCAUGAUCAUGAAGGUGGUUCACCCAGGGCGAGGCUCAGCCAUUGCACUUCGGUUGUGCUGACCCUUGCGAAUUCCCCAAAUGUGGGAAUCUCGACUGCAAAAUUUGUGGUAGUGGGGGACUGCGUCCGCGCUCUCCCCUG